ACACAGUUUUACAGGGAGGUGCGGGAAUCGUGGUUUUACAGAAAAUGAAAAGCAUUUCUCUAAAACAAUAUAUAAUUGAGAUAAAAAAUGUCUUGCAGAUUGUUCACAUAUUUCGAAACAUGGUUUCUAUUCGAACGAAAACAUAACACCACUGCACUCACGAAACAUUUAUUCAAAAAUGAUCACAUCAACGUUGAUUUUUUAAUACAAAUCCUAGAAGUUGAAAUCAUGUGUGCAUUGACUUUUCAUACACACGAAAUUAUUCUGUGAGAUCUUUUAUUGUAAGUUGCCAACAUUGCUUCGAAAAAGUGAAACAAAACAA